GAUGAACGCUAGCGGCAGGCUUAAUACAUGCAAGUCGAGGGACAGCACAGGUAGCAAUACUGGGUGGUAACCGGCAAACGGGUGCGGAACACGUACACAACCUUCCUUUAAGUGGGGGAUAGCCCAGAGAAAUUUGGAUUAAUACCCCGUAAUAUAGUUGAAUGGCAUCAUUUGAUUAUUAUAGCUACGGCGCUUAAUGAUGGGUGUGCGGCUGAUUAGAUAGUUGGCGGGGUAACGGCCCACCAAGUCUACGAUCAGUAGCUGAUGUGAGAGCAUGAUCAGCCACACGGGCACUGAGACACGGGCCCGACUCCUACGGGAGGCAGCAGUAAGGAAUAUUGGUCAAUGGACGCAAGUCUGAACCAGCCAUGCCGCGUGAAGGAUUAAGGUCCUCUGGAUUGUAAACUUCUUUUAUUUGGGACGAAAAAGGGUCUUUCUAGACCAACUGACGGUACCAGAUGAAUAAGCACCGGCUAACUCCGUGCCAGCCGCCGCGGUAAAAC
rnacentral:rRNA from 1 species